GACGUAGGGGGCAAGCGUUGUCCGGAUUUAUUGGGCGUAAAGAGCUCGUAGGCGGUUUGGCAAGUCGGGUGUGAAAUCUCCGGGCUCAACUCGGAGGGGCCACUCGAUACUGCUAUGACUUGAGUCCGGUAGGGGAGCGUGGAAUUCCCGGUGUAGCGGUGAAAUGCGCAGAUAUCGGGAGGAACACCAGUAGCGAAGGCGGCGCUCUGGGCCGGAACUGACGCUAAAGAGCGAAAGCGUGGGGAGCGAACAGG
rnacentral:rRNA from 1 species